AACGAACGCUGGCGGCAUGCCUAACACAUGCAAGUCGAACGAGACCUUCGGGUCUAGUGGCGCACGGGUGCGUAACGCGUGGGAACCUGCCCUUAGGUUCGGAAUAACUCCCCGAAAGGGGUGCUAAUACCGGAUAAUGUCUUCGGACCAAAGAUUUAUCGCCUUUGGAUGGGCCCGCGUUGGAUUAGCUAGUUGGUAGGGUAAAAGCCUACCAAGGCGACGAUCCAUAGCUGGUCUGAGAGGAUGAUCAGCCACACUGGGACUGAGACACGGCCCAGACUCCCACGGGGGGCAGGAGUGGGGAAAUUGGGAAAAGGGGCGAAAGCCUGAUCCCGCAAUGCCGGGGGGGGGAUGAAGGCCUUUGGGUUGAAAAGCCUUUUUCCCCGGGAUGAUAAUGAAAGUACCGGGAGAAAAAGCCCCGGCUAACUCCGU
rnacentral:rRNA from 1 species